GCCCAACAAACAUUUAAGACGUCGAGUAGACGUUUUGGUAACAACUUAAUGUUAUUUAGUAUAAUCGUAUAAACGUCAUAAGGACGUUUACUCGACGGCAUUUGGGCCCACUUUAUAUAACUUAAGGCGCUAAGAGUUUCGUAUAACAGUCAUAUAAAACACCUAUUAGUCGCAUAGUAGUCAUAUACGCGUCGGCGAUUUGACUACAUGUCGUGUAAUGGUAGCUGUUGCGGCGUGUAUUCGACUUAAUGUCACAAAUAUGAUUUUUAUAUGAUGAAAUAGGUAUGUAAUGGACGUUUAAAGAUUAUAUUAAGAACGAAUAUUAUAAAAUAUUAUUUUAAUGGAGUAGUGCUUUUGACAGCUGUGUUUAUUUUGUUUUUUUUUUCUUGUUAUUUGAGGUGAUAAAACCAUUCCAUCAGUUGUAAACCAUUGGGCAAUCAAGUUUACUGAUUAAUGUGAGGUUAAUUUUUAACAAAUUUUUAAUGCGCCUUCUAAAUUUUAAUGUUAUCACAUAUUUUUAUGAAUAAUUUACUAUGUGACUGCGUUAUAUGACAACUAUAUAACUUCCCGACCAAUAAGCUGCGAGUUCAUUGUAAAUAAAUAUCAUAAAUUUGAUUUAAAAAUGGUGGAAGUGGUAUACAAGGUACGAAUACAGCGCUGAACAAACAGGCGAAGACGCUAGCUCCAGCGAAGAUCCAAAAUGUGACACUGGGUCCCCAGCCCGGCAACAUGUACCCAAACGCAGCUGUUAUACCGAAACCAAAAACCCACCCAACAGUGACUGUGAAGGUGGAACCGAACCCUCUGCAGUUGUCAGUGAACAUUUCUCCGAUGAAGGUGUUGGGGAUGAUGCCGAAACCUGCAAAAAAUAU